rnacentral:rRNA from 1 species
CCUACGGGAGGCAGCAGUGAGGAAUAUUGGUCAAUGGGCGCUAGCCUGAACCAGCAAAGCCGCGUGAAGGAUGACUGCCUUAUGGGUUGUAAACUUUUUUUAUAUGGGAAUAAAGUGCAGUAUGUAUACUGCUUUGCAUGUACCUUAUGAUUCAGGAUCGGCUAACUCCGUGCCAGCAGCCGCGGUAAUACGGAGGGUCCGAGCGUUAUCCGGAUUUAUUGGGAUUAAAGGGAGCGUAGGUGGGUUGUUAAGUCAGGUGUGAAAGUUUGCGGCUCAACCGUAGAAUUGCAGUUGAUACUGGCAUCCUUGAGUACGGUAGAGGUAGGCGGAAUUCGUGGUGUAGCGGUGAAAUGCUUAGAUAUCACGAAGAACACCGAUUGCGAAGGCAGCCUGCUAGACUGUAACUGACGCUGAUGCACGAAAGUGUGGGUAUCAAACAGGAUUAGAUACCCUAGUAGUC